UAGAUUGACACCUCUAAUUCUUAUGUCUCAACCACUUGGCCAGCUUGGUAUUUAUUUUGAGCAUAGAUGAUCCCGAAAGCUCCUGGCUAGAGUACAUUUGCAACAGUUCUCCUUGCUCUAGAUGCCAGUAAAGAAGCACUGAGACGACAGCAGGUAAUUAAGCUCCCUGAACAUAAAAGACAAAAUAUAAACAGUGCCACACUAUACAGUCCAAGAAAUAUGUAAACCUGUUCGAUGUACUUAUGAAUAUUAAGAUGCUGAUCAGAAAGGUCAAAGUUCCUAAAAAGAGACUAUAAACUCUCAAUAACUUGGAUACAAAACCAUUAAAUCAUGCACACUGGUAAAUGGUUUCCUUUUUGCUGUACAUUUUUCAAAGCUGUGCAAUCCAUAUACCAAAAAUAAGUACAUCAAUUUCUUAGAAAAGACAAUUUUCUCUCGCAAAAUCGCAAUUUAGGACAUUAUGAUUAGUGUCUCAAGAAGAAUGUUAACUUCCUUCAGUCCGAAAGGUCUACUCCAAAGGGGAUACUAGCAAAUAAAAGUUAAGUAAAUGGUGCUUACAUGGCCCUGCCUGUCUCACAAUGCUAAAAGUAAUUUUGGGUGCAAGUAGAUCAAAUCAAUGCAGUGGAUAGAGAUGGGAAAGGCAACGAUUAUGACAAACCUUCCCCUCUCACCUUUCAUUUCAUGUUUAAACAUGGGGACCAUGUGCGUAGAUCCUUCAAAUCUACUUCAGGUGAUAAUUUUGAAAUGACUCGAGAAAUGAAUCGGGUAGAGAAUCUUUGUAAACUACAUCACCGAUCAAUUACAGUCUGAGUUGAAAGAAGAAAAGAUGCUUUUUCUAUGAGUAAAAGGAAAAAGAAGGUAAAUGAACUGUAAUAGACUGCAAAUGAAGAAAAGUUUCAAUCCGGUACGAUGAUAUUUGAGCAUAAAUGCAAUUUAUAACUUUUAGAUAGAUAAAAUUAAAAAAACAGGAUGCUGCCAAGACUCUCGAACUUCAGCCAAAACAUGUGAUUCUUCAUCUUAGACCAUAAACUAGAUUAUCACAUUACAUAAUCACUGCAUUGGCAGAGUUUUACAAUCACAUAUUAAUUUGGUUUUAAUUUCUAUUCCAACUUCGAACAUCAAUAUCCCGGAUCGCUUAUCAAAUUGUACUUGCUGCUGUUUUUCUCCUCAGCAAGUUCAGUUUCCCUCUCUCUUCCUAUCAUCAAUACUAGUGGACUAUCUAAACAGGAAUCACAUAGAACCAAAUAUAACAACAAACGAUCACUAGCUAUUGGCCCACCCACAAGUUAGAUUGUCCCCUCUUUGUCCAACGAAGAUCCGCGAUGAUUCAGGGAAACACGGGUCCAUAAAGAUUUUACAUUACCCUACUAAAAUUCCUUUCUUUUCCAUUAUCAUUUUCAGGCAAAGUAAAAUUACUGAUCACAGAUAAAUUACUUUCAACAUAGUGAAAACAAACCUGACCAUUGCUAUUUGGGUUACUCAAUACACCAAGCACAAAUCCCUAUACCAAAUGCAAGGAGAAAUUCCCUCAAACACAAGGUGGGCACUGCUCUCAGCC
rnacentral:lncRNA from 1 species